rnacentral:rRNA from 1 species
GUCGCACGAGAAAGUGGAGCAAUCCAUGAGUACAGUGGCGUACGGGUGAGUAACACGUGGAUCAUCUACCUCUUAGUGGGGAAUAACCCUGGGAAACCGGGGCUAAUACCGCAUAAGCUCGAGAGAGGAAAGCAGCAAUGCGCUGAGAGAGGAGUCCGCGGCCGAUUAGCUAGUUGGCAGGGUAAAUGCCUACCAAGGCAAAGAUCGGUAGCCGGCCUGAGAGGGCACACGGCCACACUGGCACUGAAACACGGGCCAGACUCCUACGGGAGGCAGCAGUGGGGAAUCUUGCACAAUGGGGGAAACCCUGAUGCAGCGACGCCGCGUGAGCGAUGAAGCCCUUCGGGGUGUAAAGCUCUUUCGGCAGGGAAGAUCAUGACGGUACCUGCAGAAGCAGCUGCGGCUAACUACGUGCCAGCAGCCGCGGUAAUACGUAGGCAGCGAGCGUUGUUCGGAGUUACUGGGCGUAAAGGGUGUGUAGGCGGUUGCUUAAGUUUGGUGUGAAAUCUCCCGGCUCAACUGGGAGGGUGCGCCGAAUACUGAGUGACUCGAGUGCGGGAGAGGAGAGUGGAAUUCCUGGUGUAGCGGUGAAAUGCGUAGAUAUCAGGAGGAACACCGGCGGUGUAGACGGCUCUCUGGACCGUAACUGACGCUGAGACACGAAAGCGUGGGUAGCAAACAGGAUUAGAUACCCUGGUAGUCCACGCCCUAAACGAUGCAUAUUUGGUGUGGGUCAUUCAGUUGAUCCGUGCCGGAGCUAACGCGUUA